AGCAGCCGCGGUAAUUCCAGCUCCAAUAGCGUAUAUUAAAGUUGUUGCAGUUAAAAAGCUCGUAGUUGAACUUCGGAAUUUGUUUAUUGGUCAGGCUUAACUGUCUGUACUGGUGAAUCGGAUUCCUACCUUCUGAGGAACUUCUAUGCCAUUUACUUGGUGUGGUGGGGAAUCAGGACUGUUACUUUGAAAAAAUUAGAGUGUUUAAAGCAGGCUAACGUCUGAAUACAUUAGCAUGGAAUAAUAGAAUAGGACGGUUUGGUUCUAUUUUGUUGGUUUCUAGGAUCGAUGUAAUGAUUAAUAGGGAUAGUUGGG
rnacentral:rRNA from 1 species